UGUAUGUCCCCCCCCGGGUGCCCCUAAACCUCCCCCCGGGGCCGCCGCCGCCGCCGCCGCUGGUCACAUGCACGCGGCCCCGGCCCCGCCUCGCGCUCUGCCCGCCAACCGUCCCCCUCAGCCCCGUCACGGUUCCCGGGUCCCGUCGCUACCAUCUUCAUGCCACCGCUGCAAUGGAUUUGCUUGCAAAUUAACGCCAAGAGCCAUCGCGAGCUCCAGGUGCAGCCUUAAUGUUGCACCAGGAUGAACCUCAGGUGUCAUUGUGUGAGUCAAAGGUUUUGCCAGAGUUUCCACUCACAGAGGAAGAGACCUUUCCUGCCAGUGAUGGUGCUGGGACCAACUGUGCCUGAGGAACACGGGCUGAUGUUCUACGGGUAAUAUAGGGAAAGUAAUUGCAAUUCCUGAACAAUCACACUGAUCCUUGUUAUCUGUGCUAUUUAAAUACCACACGGUCCUGCCUACAGAGAAAGAACUAACCACCACCUAAGAUCACAUGCCCAUAGUAAGAUCCAAAAUUAAUUUAUAUGAAUUUAUGUUAAGUAUGAUCUCUUGCGAUCACCAUUUUACUUUGCUUUAUUACAUAAAUUGUACUUCUUCUCUUUAAACAAAUAUGUACAUAGAAAUAAAAAAAAAUCCCAAAUACA
rnacentral:lncRNA from 1 species